UAGGUGAAUCUAUGGAAGGAUCAUUGUCAAAACCUACAAAGCAGACCCACAAACUCAUUCUAUGACACGUACGGGAGGAUGACGGUUAUUCGCGUGUCGACCGUGCGACGGACAAAGGGAGUUUGGCUGUCUAAUUAAAACAAAGCAUUGUAAUGGUCCCCUUGGAUGCUUAUGUAAUGUGAUUUUUGCCCAGUGCUCUGAAUGUUAAAGUGAAAAAAUUCAACAAAGCACAAGUAAAUGAUGGGAGUAACUAUGACUCUCUUAAGGUAGCCAAAUCCCUCAUCAUCUAAUUAGUACGUGCAUGACUAGAUUAACAAGAUUUCCACUGUCCCUAUCUACUAUCCAGUGAACCCACAACCAAGGGAACGAGCUUGA
rnacentral:rRNA from 1 species